UACUAAUUCAGUUAAGGUAAAAUCUUAAAUGCUCCUAGAGAUUAAAUGCUUCUCUUUAAUUUAUUUACUUUCUCUGUUUUGCAUGAACACCGGAGCCGAAGAGUUUCAUGCUGAAAUUCAAUGAUGCUACCACUUCAUAGAGAUUGCACAUCCUAAUCUUUUCCAGUUCUUACAUCAUAUGCCCAUAAAUAUAGAAAAAAAAAUCUUCUUGGAGCUGAACACGACUUUUUUCUUUUUUGUUUAUUUGCUUAUUGUUGUGCGAUUAACUGUUAAGAUUGUAAUUUAUUUUUACCUAUACAUCACAUAUAGCAAACCUUAUUACCAUUUAUUAAGGCUCAAAUCUAUGUUAAAUAAUUUGUAGCCUAAAAUAACGCCUGUAUUUAUGGCUCCUAAUUAAUCUUUGAUUUUG
rnacentral:lncRNA from 1 species